GUCUCGGCUCCGCUCCUUCUAAGCGCGUGUACCCGCGACGUGCGUCUGCGAGUGGAAAGCCCGUGUGCUGCUCCACACACAGCGGCCCCACCUCAGUCCGGUCUUCCCUGCCUCCCGUUGGCCCUUCUGCUGUGAGCUCGCCUGGACCUGAGGCCGGGCGGUGCACAGGUCUGUGGCCUGUGGCGCCGUGCUCAGCGUGACCUACCCAGAAUUAAGCUGAGGACAAUGGGAUUUAGAGUCACAAACACUCGCCCCGUGACAAUGGGAGGGGAUGUGUCAUUUUUCUCCCUUCGAAUGGAGCAUGCUUGGCUGCAAGAAUGCUGCUCAACAUGGUAAAGAAGCUAAGUGGAAGAGUGUUUCCUCC
rnacentral:sRNA from 1 species